AUGGGCGUGUCCAUUGGGUGUGUCCAUGGGCGUGUCCAUUGGGUGUGUCCAUGGGUGUGUCCAUUGGGUGUGUCCAUUGGGUGUGUCCAUUGGGCGUGUCCAUUGGGCGUGUCCAUUGGGUGUGUCCAUUGGGCGUGUCCAUUGGGUGUGUCCCAGGUGGGCGUGUCCAUUGGGCGUGUCCAUUGGGUGUAUCCAUUGGGUGUGUCCAUGGGUGUGUCCAUUGGGUGCAUCAUUGGGUGUGUCCAUUGGGUGUCUCAUUGGGUGUCUCCAUUGGGUGUGUCCAUUGGGUGUGUCCAUUGGGUGUGUCCAUUGGUCAUGUCCAUUGGGCGUGUCCAUUGGGUGUGUCCAUUGGGUGUGUCCAUUGGGCGUGUCCAUUGGGUGUGUCCAUUGGGUGUGUCCAUUGGGUGUGUCCAUUGGGCGUGUCCAUUGGGUUUAUCCAUUGGGCGUGUCCAUUGGGUGUGUCCAUUGGGAAUGUCCAUUGGGUGUGUCCAUGGGUGUGUCCAUGGGUGUGUCCAUUGGGUGUGUCCCAGGUGGGCGUGUCCCAGGUGGGCGUGUCCCAGAUGGGCGUGUCCAGGUGGGCGUGUCCCGGGCUCAGCCCCGCCCCCUCAGCCGCAGGUAACCGCCCCCGCUGACCAACGCCAGGGCCCCGCCCAGCCCGGCCAGCACCGGGCAAUGACCGGGACGGCCACCGAGCACCCCUGGGUGGCCACCGAGCACCCCUGGGUGGUCACCGAGCACCCCCGGGUGGCCACCGAGCACCCCUGGGUGGUCACUCAGGUCCCCAGGGUGGUCACCGCUGGCCAGGAACAGCCCCGCCCCCAUCAGCGCCGAAAUCCCUGCGGGGACACCCGGGGGGACAUCAGGAUGGGGACAUUUAUGUGGGGGUGACAUCGACGUGGGGGUGACAUCGACGUGGGGGUGACAUCGAUGUGGGGGUGACAUUGACAUGGGGGUGACAUCGAUGUGGGGGUGACAUCGAUGGGGGGGUGACAUCGAUGUGGGGGUGACAUCAAUGUGGGAGUGACAUCCAAGGGGGGGUGACACAGGAGGGUGACAUUGUGGGGGGACACGGGGUGGGACUGCAGGAGGGACACCGGGGGUGGUGACACUGGGGGGGGACAAUGGGGGCUGACAUUGGUGGGGGACAUGGGGUGGGGGUGACACCAGGGGUGACACCAGAGGGAGGGGUGACACUGGGGGGGUGACACCGAAGGGGGGGGUGACACCGGGGGUGACACUGGAGGGGUGGGUGACACUGGGGGGGUGACAUUGGUGGGGGACACAGGGUGGGGGUGACACUGGGGGUGGGGGGUGACACUGGAGGGGUGACAUUGGUGGGGGACAGGGGAAUUUGGGGGGUCCCAGGUGAAUUUUGGGGGGUCCCAGGUGAAUUUUGGGAGGGUCCCAGGGGAAUUUGGGGGAUCCCAGGGGAAUUUGGGGGGGUCCCAGGGGAGUUUGGAGUGUCCCAGGUGAGUUUGGUGGGGGUCCCAGGUGAGUUUGGGGGGUCCCAGGUGAGUUUGGGGGGGUCCCAGGUGAGUUUGGGGGGGUCCCAGGGGAUUUUUGGGGGUGGCAGGGGUUUUGGGGACCCCCGUUUUUGGGGGUCCCUGGGGAUUUUUGGGGGGUCCCAGGGAUUUUUGGGGGUCCCAGGGUAUUUUUGGGGGGUCCCAAGGGGAUUUUUGGGGGUCCCAGGGACUUUUAGGGGCUCUCAAGGGAUUUUUGGGGGGUCCCGGGGUAUUUUGGGGUCCCAGGGGUUUUGGGGACCCCCGUUUUUGGGGUGCAGACCUGCCAGCAGCUGCGCGGCGGCCGCGGGGAGGAAGAGGCGGCCGCGGGGCCCCCCCAGCAGCUGCCCGAGGAAGAGGAGGAGGCCGAAGGCCGAGAGCAGCAGCGCCGUCACCAUCAGCCCCUGAACCCCCCUGAGCAGCGCUGGGGGGCGGUGGGACCCCGUCAGACCCCCGAAAACGAGCAUGGCACCCCAAAAUACAGCAUGGAC
ensembl:lncRNA